AUUGUUUUUCAAACAAAAAGAAGCAGAAUGCUUCUUCUUCCCUGCUCCCUUUCCAUCUUUCUUUGCUAGGAAUUCAACCUAGCUUGCGCCACCCUGGAGGAUUAUCGGUGCCACGCACCUCCACCCCACCGCCGGUUCACGGAUCAAGACCAGAUAUAGCUGCGAAAAUCUCGAAAUCGAGAGGCGUGGCGGAGUGGGACGCUGGUGAGAGGCGUGCGGCGCGAGGACUCAUGCAACAACUUUGAGUCUCUGUUCGUUUGGCCCUUGUUUGGGUCUAUUUUUGUGCCUAUUUUUCUUGUAUUGGAUCAUGACAUGAAUUUGGUCCCACAAUAAUUAUUUUUAAAAUGUGGAAUGAGUAAUAUCAUGAAAAUCAAAAGUUUUAUUA